UUAUUGUUACCAGCAUUACAAAGAAAUAGACCCAAUAUCAAUUACUGAUUAUUAAUUAACCAACACUACAAAGAAAUUAUUAUUAAUUAUUAAGGAUUAAUUAAUCAAUAUUACAAAUAAAUCUAUCCAAUAAUAAUUAUUAAUUAUUGAUUAUUAAUAAUCAAUGUUACAGAUAAACGAAUCCUAUAUUAUAAGUCAUUGAUUAUUAAUCAAUAUUACAAGGAAAUCAAUCCUAUAUUAUUUCUUAUUGAUGCUACAAAGUAACCAAUCAAAUGUUGUUAAUCAAAGUUACAAAUAAAAUAAUCCAAUAUUAUUUAUUAAUUAUUGAUUAUUAAUCAAUAUCACAAAGGAAUCAAUCUAUGUUAUCAAAUAUUAUUAAUUAUUAAUUACUCAAUACUACACAAACUUUUAUCCACUCUUCAUUAUUAUUUAUUAUUAAUCAAUACUACAGAGAAAUCAAUCCAAUGUCAUUUAUUUAUCAUUAAUUAAUCAAUAUCACAAAUGAAUCGUUCCAGUAUUAGUUAUUGAUUAUUGAUUACUGAUCAGUGUCACACAGGAAUUGAUCCAGUAUUAAUUACUGAUUAUUGAUUACUGAUCAAUAUCACACAGGAAUUGGUCCAGCAUUAGUUAUUAAUUAUUGGUUAUUGAUCAGUAUCACACAGGAAUCGAUCCAGCAUUAGUUACUGAUUAUUGAUUAUUGAUCAGUACCACACAAAAAUUGAUCCAGCAUUAGUUAUUAAUUAUUAAUUAUUGAUCAGUAUCACACAGGAAUUGAUCCAAAGCGCGUUCCCUGUAACGUGUCCCGCUCGCCACGAGCUCUGAAAGCGCCAAUCGCGGGUCUGUAAAAUCACAAACUAAUCACUAAUUACACACGUUAAUUAGUAAUAAAUUAAUAAUUACACAAGUUAAUUAGUAAUGAAAUAAUAAUUAUAAUAGUGAUAAAAUCAGAGCAAUAAAAACAUGGACAAUGAGGGUUAGGAUACGACAUGAUGAUAAAAAAUGAAGAAUUUUCGACAUCCGUGACUUUUGGCCACUGUGAAAACACCAAUCAGUUGUUCUUGAAAUUUUAGAAGUUUAUUAGUAAUAAAAUAGUUAUUAAAAAUAAAAAAUAAAAAUAAUGAAAUAAAAUAAAAUAAAAAGAGAGUAAUAAAAAUCUGGACAAUGACAUUUAGGACACCACUAGGCGAUAAAAAGAAAAUAAUUUUGGAUGCCCGGAUGUUUUUGGGCACCGUGAAAAAUGCCAGUCCUGGUUCUUUAAAAUCUUUUACAAAUUACUGAUUCAAACAAGUUAAUUAGUAAUAGAAUAGUUAUAAAAAUAGCAAUAAAAUAAGAGUAAUAAAAAUUUGGACAAUACAAAAUGAAGAAUUUCGGACAUCCAGGAGUUUUUGGGCACUGUGAAAACACUGAUCAAUUGUUUCUGAAAUUUUAAAAGUUUAUUAGUAAUAAAGUAGUAAUUAAAAAAUAUAAAAAAUAAAAAUAAAAUAAGAAGAAAAAUAUUAAAAUAAUAGUAAAAUAAAAUUUAAAAAUAAAACCAGAGUAAUAAAAAUGCGGUCAGCGAGGGUCAGGCACCACGAGAUGAUAAAAAAUGAAGAAUUUCAGACAUCCAGGAGUUUUUGGGCACUGUGGAAAAUAACAAUCAGUUGUUUUUGAAUUUUUAAAAAUUUAUUAGUAAUAAAAUAGUGAUUAAAAAAUAAAAAUAAAAUAAUAACAAAAAAAAUCGGAGUAAUAAAAAUGUGGACAAUGAGGAUGAGGACACCACGAGACGAUAAAAAAUGAAGAAUUUUGGACAGCAAGGAGUUCUUGGGAACUGUGAAAAAUGCCACAUGCUGGUUUUUAAAAUGUUAAAAAAUUACUGAUUCAAAAGUUAAUUAGUAAUAAAACAGUUAUUAAAAACCAGCGAUAAAAUCAGAGCAAGAACAAUGUGGCCAAUGCGGCUCAGGACAGUGACAGGACAAGGAAACAGCGAGGGAUUACGGACGUCCGGAUGGGUUUGGGCACUGAGCUGCCAAAACCACGCCUUGAACAAGGACUAACCCUAAAAGACUCUGGGGACAUGAGCUGCUGCUCGUCCCUCUGUAACCCGGUCACGGUGGCUGCCACCUCACCCAGGGUGGCCGCCACAUUCACCAGUGACUCCAGCUGGUACAGGGACACCUGGGGAGGGCACAGGGGAGGUGUCAGGGACCUGGUGGCACUUGUGGUCUCCUGUGGUGGCCCCAGUGUUCUCCCAGGGUCCCCUUUGUCCCCUCCCUGGAGGGCUCUGCUAUCCCCUAUGUCCCUUUGUCAUCCCCUCAUCCCCUCUGUCACACCCCUGCCACCCCCCACUGUCCCCUCUUCUUGCCCAGGGAGACUUAAACCGUGUCUGUGUCUCCAACAGUUUCUGCUCAGUCAGGCCUCAGAUAUCGGGCCCCUUUAUCAGCUCCAUUGCUUUACUCUCUGUUUUAUUCCCCAUACGGGGGCACCAGGGCUCUGCCCGACGGGGGUCACUGGGGAUCAUCCAGCCCGGAUCCUCCCAUGGGGAAUGGAGCUGCAGCAGCGCACCAAGCUGUUCCCUCACUCUCUUCCCUCACUCCAAGCUCUCUUCCCUCACUCUCUUCCCUCACUCCAAGCUCUUCCCUCGCUCGGGGCACUCACAGGGCUUCCCUUAGUGGUGCCUCCGUUGGUGUUGGGUCAAGUUUGAUCUCUGUGAGGAGCUCUUCCCACACUUCCCACACUCAUAGGGCCUCUCCUCGGUGUGGAUGCGCUGGUGCCUUGUGAGGUGGGAGUUGUGCUUGAAGCCCUUCCCGCAGUCGGGGCAGUGGAAGGGCCUCUCCUCUGUGUGAAUCCGCUCAUGUACGAGGAGAUGGGAGCUGGUCUGAAACCUCUUCCCACACUUCCCACACUCGUAGGGCCUCUCCCCAGUGUGGAUGCGCUGGUGCCUGGUGAGGUGGGAGUUGUGCUUGAAGCCCUUCCCGCAGUCGGGGCAGCGGAAGGGCCUCUCCUCUGUGUGAAUCCGCUCAUGUAGGAGGAGACUGGAGCUGGUCUGAAACCUCUUCCCACACUGGGGACACUCGUAGGGCCUCUCCCCUGUGUGGAUGCGCUGGUGUAUUCUCAGGGUAGAGCUCCGCCCAAAGCUCUUCCCACAUUCCAAGCACUCAUAGGGCCCU
rnacentral:lncRNA from 1 species